GACGAACGCUGGCGGCGUGCUUAACACAUGCAAGUCGAACGGUGACCCUCGGAGCUUGCUUCGGGGUGAACAGUGGCGAACGGGUGAGUAACACGUGAGUAACCUGCCCCUGACUCUGGAAUAAGCGCUGGAAACGGCGUCUAAUACCGGAUACGACACGCCUCCGCAUGGGGAGCGUUUGGAAAGUUUUUCGGUCUGGGAUGGACUCGCGGCCUAUCAGCUUGGUGGUUAGGGAAUGGAUCACCAAGGCGAUGACGGGUAGCCGGCCUGAGAGGGCGACCGGCCACACUGGGACUGAGACACGGCCCAGACUCCUACGGGAGGCAGCAGUGGGGAAUAUUGCACAAUGGGCGAAAGCCUGAUGCAGCGACGCCGCGUGAGGGAUGACGGCCUUCGGGUUGUAAACCUCUUUCAGCAGGGAAGAAGCGAAAGUGACGGUACCUGCAGAAGAAGCACCGGCUAACUACGUGCCAGCAGCCGCAGUAAGAC
rnacentral:rRNA from 1 species